rnacentral:rRNA from 1 species
AUUGAACGCUGGCGGCAGGCCUAACACAUGCAAGUCGAACGGUAACAGGAAGCAGCUUGCUGCUUCGCUGACGAGUGGCGGACGGGUGAGUAAUGUCUGGGAAGCUGCCUGAUGGAGGGGGAUAACUACUGGAAACGGUAGCUAAUACCGCAUAAUGUCGCAAGACCAAAGAGGGGGACCUUCGGGCCUCUUGCCAUCGGAUGUGCCCAGAUGGGAUUAGCUUGUUGGUGGGGUAACGGCUCACCAAGGCGACGAUCCCUAGCUGGUCUGAGAGGAUGACCAGCCACACUGGAACUGAGACACGGUCCAGACUCCUACGGGAGGCGGCAGUGGGGAAUAUUGCACAAUGGGCGCAAGCCUGAUGCAGCCAUGCCGCGUGUAUGAAGAAGGCCUUCGGGUUGUAAAGUACUUUCAGCGGGGAGAAGGGGAGUAAAGUUAAUACCUUUGCUCAUUGACGUUACCCGCAGAAGAAGCACCGGCUAACUCCGUG